rnacentral:ncRNA from 1 species
UUUCUCUGAGGAUAGCUGAAAGUACGUAAUGAAGCUGUUAUAUUCGAUAAAGCGCUUGAUUAGAAGAAUUGUGGAACAAAACGUCUUCAAUCUAUUUCCAAAUUCUCAAUGAGUACGAUGUUUUGCUUGCUUGAAUGACACGUUGACAUUGAAUGUGUGCUCCAAAUGGGUCAGUUUCUGGUAAACAGAACUGGUACACUGUGGGAUGAGCCA